CCAUGUCCUGCCAUCUGGCCUUGGGGCAGAAUUAAAGGAGACAUAUGCCCAAGGACUAAAUGCAGACUGCGACCCGCACGUUAUAUCACACCGGAACUUGCCCCCAAAAUCCUCCUUAGUCAAGAGACACCAUCCUGCUUGCAUGGGUGGCAGCACUUGACAGACAGCAUGUGGUGUCCACUUCGAAGUCCCCAGGGCCAACAGACUGGGCCCGGAACAGGCAGAGAGGAGGCUGCGGACACACAGGCCUGGAGUCACGUGUGAAAUCCGUCAAGAGCCCAGAUGACCGAGUCCACUUGUCCCAAUUCUGGAGGCACUGGAGUAGGCCCGAACCAAUUCACUCCAAGCCUAUGGUGCUGGGGUGCUCAGUGCUAUGGGACUGCUGAUGGCUGGAAUCUGGGGGACACUGAGGAGGUCUGUGUUUAAGCUGCCAGUGGUAUUUCUGCUUUUCUAGAUGUUUGGAUAGUUUGGAUAUUCUUGCAAUUACCUCUUUGUCUUGGGGGAAAGGAUAUCAAAGGGCCCCUUGGAUGUGUGCUGGAGUUUAUCAGGGAGCAUCUUGCAGCCAUAUAGAGGAAAAGAGCCCUUUCCUGGUAUUCUAUUUGGUUCUUGCCAGUGACCAAGCUCAGCCAUGCCAGAUCUGAGCAAGAGUCAGGUGACAUCUACUGCCCUACCCCCAGACACCUUUGGUUCCCACAUGCCCUGGGUAAAGGGUGCCUGUCCACGUGGGUCAGCCGAGUGCGGGGACAAGAAUCCUGGAAUCGCACAGCACUCUGCCCGCUGGCAUCUCGGUGGCCUGGGCUCUGGAGAGAAGUCCUGUUUGGUUCCUUUCCAUACCUCAGUGGCUCCCUUGACUCCUGGCUUGGGACUUCCGGUGAAUUGUCUGGAACUCUGUCCACAGGGUCGUGAGUGGAUAUUCUGAUUUGUCAAUAAUCAGGAGUGGAUGGUUAUACCUCAUGAAGAUGUGAAAGGGAAAUGGCCUUGCACACCAUUGGUGCUCAGAUGAUGUAUAAAGACUGCCAGGAUAGGAUGCACAUGUCACAUGGAGUGUCCAUUCCCUUCUGCCUCUCCAACACCUGUCCAGCUCUGGUUGCAGACCUAAGGAGUCAGGUGGCCAUUCCCUUGUGCACAGGCCAGCACUUCCUCAGGUUUUCCUUCUGGUGCCUGCCGCUGUGGCCCAAAGAGCAUCUCUUGUGCAGAACUUACGGAGCUGGCCAGCACUGGAAUCCUGCAAACCAGGUAAAAUCUACAAUUCUGGAAUCACAGGUUGAUUAAAUGUGAUGAUACACGAAGAAAGCGCGACCAACCCAUAGAUUUGAAGUGGCAGAAAGUGCUCUACAACACACUGGGUAAGCCUCAAUAAGAAGUUCUUCAUCUGACUUCCAAAAAGUCUGCGGGAAAGGCUCGCUUGGAGGAAUGCAGUGGAGAUGUCCGGCAUCUGGACAUUCCUUCCGCGUGAUGGCACACAUCUGGCUCUUUGGAAUGAGCAGAACAUUUCCCUUCCAGUUUCCCUCCAGAUGUCUGAGGGUACGGAGAUACAGCCCAAGAGGUGAGCAAUUUAUCAAGCUUCACUGACUAAUUAAAAGCCAGAGCUCAGCAGAACCCUUGCCGGAUUCAUUAUCCUCAUCGUGUAUAAAUGUGCAGGGUUUUUCAUGCAGACCCACCCUGCAGGCUUUUCAUCAAACAGACGGUGGACAUUUUUUGCUCCUUUCACUGUAUAUGUACAAGACUGAGAGGCCUAGGACUAAGUGAGUGACUGGUGUGCACAUGCAAAGGGACAUCCUGAGUAGACAUCCUGGAGAAGACAGACGGGUGGACAGUUGUCUGGCUUCUAUAGAAUCCAAAUUAAGCCAAUGCCAUUCAAAUUCCUGCCUAGCAAUGUUGUGCCUUCUCAAGGUUGCUGAAAUUGAAUUCAAAAGCCAAAAACAUAUGCUGGCUGGGCUCAAAGAGCAACUGCCGAUUGCAAACACAUGGCUUAGCAAUGCAUAAGAUGCUCUGGGGUGACAUUGGGGGUUGCUGAUUACGUGAGAUAAUCAAAGAAACAUCAUUCAAAAACUCUUUCCUUGCAUACAAGCACACAUGCAAAAUACUUUCUUUAAAGAAAGCACUAAGCAAAAACAAAACAAAACAAAACAAAACCAAAACCAAAAAACAAACACAAACACUAAGUAAAAUAAAAAUCUCUGAUGAAAAUACUUAAUGGUCCCA
rnacentral:lncRNA from 12 species